rnacentral:rRNA from 1 species
GACAGAGGGUGCAAACGUUGCUCGGAAUUACUGGGCGUAAAGCGCGUGUAGGCGGACUGGUGUGUCGGAUGUGAAAUCCCCAGGCUCAACCUGGGAACUGCAUUCGAAACUGCCAGCCUUGAGUGGUGGAGAGGGAAGUGGAAUUCCUGGUGUAGAGGUGAAAUUCGUAGAUAUCAGGAGGAACACCAGUGGCGAAGGCGGCUUCCUGGACACCAACUGACGCUGAGGCGCGAAAGCCAGGGGAGCAAACGGG